rnacentral:snRNA from 1 species
UGUCGUUCGGUAGCAGGAAAAAAAAAAAGUCUUUCGCCUUUUACUAAAGAUUUCUGUGGAGGGGAACUUUUUGCGAGUGAUCUGUAUUUUUGGAGGCUCUGAUCACAGCAGAGCU